CAGCCGCCGCGGGAAAACGAAGGGGGCUAGCGUUAUUCGGAAUUACUGGGCGUAAAGGGCGCGUAGGCGGCCAUCCAAGUUAGAUGUGAAAGCCCUGGGCUCAACCUAGGAAUUGCAUUUGAUACUGUUUGGCUUGAGUUCGGGAGAGGUGAGUGGAAUUCCCAGUGUAGAGGUGAAAUUCGUAGAUAUUGGGAAGAACACCAGUGGCGAAGGCGGCUCACUGGACCGACACUGACGCUGAGGCGCGAAAGCGUGGGGAGCAAACAGGAUUAGAUACCCGCGUAGUCCCUGUCUCUUAUAC
rnacentral:rRNA from 1 species